rnacentral:rRNA from 1 species
UACGUAGGCAGCGAGCGUUGUUCGGAGUUACUGGGCGUAAAGGGUGUGUAGGCGGUUGCAUGCGUCGGCGCUGAAAUCCCUGGGCUUAACCCAGGGGCGCGUGCCGAUACGAUGCGACUUGAGGCUCGGAGAGGGUGGUAGAACUCCUGGUGUAGUGGUGAAAUGCGUAGAGAUCAGGAAGAAUACCCGUGGCGCAAGCGACCACCCUGGCCGAGACCUGACGCUGAGGCACGAAAGCGUGGGGAGCGAACCGG